rfam:Rattus norvegicus chromosome 4, whole genome shotgun sequence.
GGGGAUUUAGCUCAGUGGUAGAGCACUUGCCUAGGAAGCGCAAGGCCCUGAAUUCGAUCCCCA